UGCUCUCCCUGGCAAAAAGACUGAAGACGUUGCCUUGGUGCGUGGAGUCCGCCGGCAACCAACUCCGGCGAGUGCGAACGGAGGCGCGGUCGCCGAGGCGGCGGUCUAGGGCUCCGGCGCUGGCGAUAAGGAAGGCGGAGGAGAAGUCGGAGUGGUGAAUCGUAAGUAGUCGACGGCGAAACGCACGAGAUCGGCGACCACGUGCCGCCACGUGAGCGGUUAGUGAUUCCGAGAUAUAACGUCCCCAACAAGCGUCGGAAGCAGCUCCGGGAACAGUUCAUGCGCCGCAUUCGCCUCGUUCUCAAAGAAACGGAGCAAGCAAUCCCAUUCCGAUCAAUUUCAGGUUGGUUUGAGUCAGUUCUAAGCAUGACUUUUGAGAGGAAAACAUCUUUGUACCAACGAAAAUCUUGAAGCUUUUUGCAUCUUAGAUUUGUAAGGGUUUCUGCCAUUCUAUCUUUGAUUGCUUUGUGAUCACCUAUAAAGUGAGUCAUGAUGGAGUAACAAAGCGUUGCUACUACAUCGGUUACAGGCAAAUUUUGCUGGUCAACAAUCAUUGCACCAGUUGUUUGUUCUAUUUUGACACUGCUUAAAAUUUGAUUGCGUUGAUCAGAUGUGAGAUAGUUAUCCCACCAUCCUUUCAAUUGGCCAGUAAAUCCUGCUACGAGGAUGUUACCGAUUUCUCAAUCUGUUUUUGUAUUUUUGUAAACAUUGCUAACCAUUAACAUUUCAUUGAUGUGUUGGAUGA